CAUGUAUUAAGGCUAACACCAUAUAUGUUUGUUUGUACCAUGAUAUAUAUUCAAAGUUAUUAAUAAAGAUAUAUUAAAAAAAUAUAUCCAUUAAAUCGAAAAAAGUGGACAAAGUCAUUAUACAAAAAUUCGGCUUUACAUAUUUCAUUGAGUAUAUCGAUCGUAGUAUCGAAACCUAAAAUACAAAACCCUAGAUCAAGAUCCUUGCAGAAGAAGUUAAAGUACAAAGUAUUGAUCGGAUCACCAUGGUCGAAUCGAUUGAGUGAUUUUCAUAGGAUUAACAUGAGGGUAUGGUGGAAGCGGGGGAGUAUCAUCAUCAGCUUCCAUCAUUUUAAACAAGUA
rnacentral:lncRNA from 1 species